UACGGAAGGCAGCAGUGGGGAAUAUUGCACAAUGGGCGAAAGCCUGAUGCAGCUAUGCCGCGUGUAUGAAGAAGGCCUUAGGGUUGUAAAGUACUUUCAUCGGGGAGGAAAAAACAAAACUAAUAAUUUUAUUUCUUGACGUUACCCGAAAAAGAAGCACCGGCUAACUCCGUGCCAGCAGCCGCGGUAAUACGGAGGGUGCUAGCGUUAAUCAGAAUUACUGGGCGUAAAGAGCACGUAGGUGGUUUUUUUAAGUCAGAUGUGAAAUCCCUGGGCUUAACCUAGGAACUGCAUUUUGAAACUGAAAUACUAGAGUAUCGUAGAGGGAGGUAGAAUUCUAGGUGUAGCGGUUGAAAUGCGUAGAUAUCUGGAGGAAUACCUGUGGCGAAAGCGGCCUCCUAAACGAAUACUGACACUGAGGUGCGAAAGCGUGGGGAGCAAACGAGGGAUUAGAUACC
rnacentral:rRNA from 1 species